UAUUAUUUUGUGAUUAGGUCUAGUUUAUGAUGAACCACUAGUUGUAGGUCAAUGAUAUUUGGUAUGCAGUUGCAUAAGCAUUGGCAUAUCUCAUUUCCAUGGAGAUUAUUUGGCUCCACUCCCUCAGUCAUGGUCUAUUGACUUUGAAACUUUUGCUUAGUUUACAUGUAUUAGUUUGUGAUUAGAUCAGUUUAAGAUGAACUGCUAAUGUUAAGUCAAUGAUAUUUGGUAUGCAAAUUUAUUGGCAUUUGCAAGUCUUAUUUCCAUGGAGAUUAUAAAGCCCCACCCCCUCAUCAUAGUUCAUUGACUUUGAAACUUUUACAUAGUUUACAAGUUAAUGUUUGUGUUUAGGUUUGUUUAAAGGGAACGACUUAUGAUAAGUCAAUGGUAUUUGGUAUGCAGUCGUAUUAACAUUGACACAUCUCAUUUCCAUGGAGAUAGUUCAGCCAUGUAUCUUCAGUCAUGGUUCAUCGACUUUGAAUAUUUGCAUAACUUACAUGUUAAAGUAUUGCUAUUUUAAUU